GAUGAACGCUAGCGGGAGGCCUAACACAUGCAAGCCGAGCGGUAUUGUUUCUUCGGAAAUGAGAGAGCGGCGUACGGGUGCGUAACACGUGUGCAACCUGCCUUUAUCUGGGGGAUAGCCUUUCGAAAGGAAGAUUAAUACUCCAUAAUAUAUUGAACGGCAUCGUUUAAUAUUGAAAGCUCCGGCGGAUAGAGAUGGGCACGCGCAAGAUUAGCUAGUUGGUGAGGUAACGGCUCACCAAGGCGAUGAUCUUUAGGGGGCCUGAGAGGGUGAUCCCCCACACUGGUACUGAGACACGGACCAGACUCCUACGGGAGGCAGCAGUGAGGAAUAUUGGUCAAUGGGUGCAAGCCUGAACCAGCCAUCCCGCGUGAAGGACGACUGCCCUAUGGGUUGUAAACUUCUUUUGUAUAGGGAUAAACCUACCCUCGAGAGGGUAGCUAAAGGUACUAUACGAAUAAGCACCGGCUAACUCCGUG
rnacentral:rRNA from 1 species